CUUUUGUUGAUUUGAUGAUGUACAGCUGACUUUUGUCUAUUUUACCCAAAUAUAUUCAUAUAGAGACUGACAGCAUGGGUAUUUUUACGCAUCUGAUUUCCCUUGGCAUUGGAAUAUACCUUGGCGUGUACAUUGAUCAACAUUAUAAAGUGCCAAGCGCAGAAAACCCAGGAGAACUUUGGAGAAAGGUCAAAGAGUUUGCAUCACAGUUCGAGAAGGGUUCUAAAGACAACAAGAAGGACAGCUAGCAUUCAUCCGUUAGGAAACAAAGAUACUCUUAACACUUUGUGAUUAUAUAGAACAUGCACUGUGAAAGAUGUUGACUCAUCAAUCAAGAAGUAACUAUGAGGAUGGUCACAUCAAACAUUGACACUUUGUGAGUUUAUGUGCACAGCUCCAGUUACUUGAAAUGAUUGCGACUCACCGGUGCAGGGGCGGGGGGGGGG